rnacentral:miRNA from 1 species
UCGGCCUCGAAUGUUAGGAGAA